GCCGCCGUGGCGGAAUCCGGCAGACGCGCUGCGUUCAGGACGCGGUGGGGCCUCACCCGUGGGGGUUCGACUCCCCCCGGCGGCA
rnacentral:tRNA from 1 species